GCCGGAAUGGCGCAGUGGUAACGCGUCGCACUUGUACUUCAUUCGAGUCAAUGCGAAGAUCCCUAGUUCAAUUCUGGGUUUCGGCA